AGAACAAGUUAGUUGACUUCGAAAACAAUAAAAUCAACAACUAUUACAAUGAAAUCUCUCAUCGUUUUCAGAGUCAUCGGCGUUGUGCUAUUUCUUUACACUUUCACAUCAGGGUGAAACUGGAGUAUCAAACGGUUCUCUCUCGUAGGUUCUACGGGUACACAGGCGAAUAUCAUCAUUGAUGAACUCUUGAGGUUUACAAGUCUAAUUUAGAAUAGGUGUAAUAAAUCGUGAAUUAAAUCGUACUUUAUUCGUCAAA